rnacentral:lncRNA from 1 species
CGAGCUCUAGCAAGACAUUAUGACUACCCAAUUACUAUGAGGAUCGAUAAUCCGGUAAAGUCUAAUAAACAGAACAUGUAUUAAUCCCUUUGUCACAUGAUAUCUAGUUUGAACAUAAGUCAUAGUUAAUGUCAAACUUAUAAUGUUCAAACUUAUGAUUUCUCAAUCUCUAAGUAGACUGAUAAAACCAAGUGAUAUUGAUCACACUAUCAAUUCAUUUGAGUACGGC